CUACAAUGCUGGCAAACUCAUGAUGAGAAUGCCUUCUCCUGUCUGCAAGUUUUUGAGCUGCCUAAUGUGACAAUAGAAGUUCCCCAGCUGCUGUUCGCCAAAACUGGUCAAGAAGAGCUGGAAAAAGCAGCGAGAGGCUUUGGCUGUGCCAAGCUUCACCCUCCCAGUGCACUGGCGACUUCGUGGCAAGUGAAACGAGUCUUUUCAGUGGGGAAUGGUUGAAAGACUCGGAGUCAAAUGAAACGUGGCUGCUAUGUGAUAUGAGGCCGACAGCACCCUGCCAACAAAAGCACUGUGAUAGAGGUAUAAGUGUCCUGCCACCUGUAAGUCCUACCACUCGACAACUACAGUGGUGAGGAUGAAAUGGUUGCUGCCUCCUUGCCAAAGUCCCUCUCGGCGACAUCCAGUUCCAUUGAGGCAGUGUCAAUAGAUGAGGAUGAACCAGCUGGCACUUUUCACAAACUGGUGGAAGAUCACUCUAAAAGGAAUCAUAUGAUGGAUUUGGAGCAAGACCAAUCAUCUUGGCUUCUGCCGAACCAUGGAUACAGUGGCAAGAAUGAACUCAGACAGACAAAAACGUUUUGUGAAACGAAGACAUCAGACAUAAAAAAUGAAGUGGCUAACUGGCCACUUAUACCAAAAGAUUGUGUCACAUGCGAAGAUGACUUGGUCAUGAGCAAGACAUCCAAUGGGAACUCAGAGUGGCUCAUUACUAGUAAGGCCAAGCCUAUGCCGACAAGCUGUUCAUAUACAAAACAAUAAGAGAAAUGUUCAAGCCUUACUUUGACCAUGGAAAUGACAGUAUCUGGAUUGCAAAUGCACUAUAAUUUUUAUACAUGAUAGAUAAAAAGAGGAAAUAAAGGUGUAUCCCUACUUAGCUGUUAUAUUUUUA